GCCGGGCGCGGUGGCGCGCGCCUGUAGUCCCAGCGACUCGGGAGGCUGAGGCAGGAGGAUCGCUUGAGCCCAGGAGUUCUGGGCUGUAGUGCGCUAUGCCGAUCGGGUGUCCGCACUAAGUUCGGCAUCAAUAUGGUGACCUCCCGGGAGCGGGGGACCACCAGGUUGCCUAAGGAGGGGUGAACCGGCCCAGGUCGGAAACGGAGCAGGUCAAAACUCCCGUGCUGAUCAGUAUUGUAUGGACCCAGGCAUUCUAAUUGGAAAAGCCUGGACACCCAGGCUAGAU
rnacentral:SRP_RNA from 1 species